CCUACGGGAGGCAGCAGUGGGGAAUAUUGCACAAUGGGGGAAACCCUGAUGCAGCGACGCCGCGUGAGUGAAGAAGUAAUUCGUUACGUUAAGCUCUAUCAGCAGGGGAGAAAAUGACGGUACCUGAGUCAGAAGCCCCGGCUAACUACGUGCCAGCAGCCGCGGUAAUACGUAGGGGGCAAGCGUUAUCCGGAUUUACGGGGUGUAAAGGGAGCUUAGACGGUUCGUCAAGUCUGGAGUGAAAUGCCGCAGCUUAACUGGGGAACUGCUUUGGAAACUGGCGAACUAGAGUGCGGGAGGGGUAAGCGGAAUUCGUGGUGUAGCGGUGAAAUGCGUAGAUAUCAGGAGGAACACCGGUGGCGAAGGCGGCUUACUGGACCGUAACUGACGUUGAGGCUCGAAAGCGUGGGGAGCAAACAGGAUUAGAUACCCGGGUAGUC
rnacentral:rRNA from 1 species